AUGACUUCGCUCACUUUCCCCUGCCGCUCGUCACCACUGACGCCCGCCUCCAUUUCCCCUCCCGUCCCGUCGCCGUGUAUAAAGAUCCGCCGCUCGCGACGAGCUGCUCCCCAUCGCCGCCUCAUCGCCGCCAGGAGUUCGAGUUCCCCCCGAACCGUCGCCAUGGCUGCCGCACCAGUCAUCUCCCCGAAAGAAAAUCUGCCCCCUUCGCUGACCUCCACCUCCGAGCCCCCUCCACUCUUCGACGGCACCACCAGGUUGUAUGUUGCAUAUCACUGCCCAUAUGCGCAGCGCGCUUGGAUUGCCAGGAACUACAAGGGUUUGCAAGACAAGAUCAAGAUAGUCGGGAUCGAUCUCGCAGACAGGCCGGCUUGGUACAAGGAGAAGGUUUACCCACAGAACAAGGUGCCUUCACUGGAGCAUAACAACGAGGUGAAAGGAGAAAGCUUGGAUUUGGUCAAGUACAUUGACAGCAAUUUCGAUGGCCCAGCAUUGCUCCCCGAUGAUUCUGCAAAGAAGCAGUUUGCCGAGGAGCUGCUUGUGUACAUCGAUGAGUUCAAUAAAGCACUAUACUCAUCCAUAACCUCCAAGGGAGAUGUGGCAGAGGAAACUGUUGCUGCGCUGGAUAAAAUAGAAGCGGCCCUGGGAAAGUUCAGUGAUGGCCCUUUCUUCCUUGGCCAGUUCAGUUUGGUGGACAUUGCAUAUGUGCCAUUUAUCGAAAGGUUUCAGAUAUUCUUUUCUGGUAUCAAAAACUAUGAUAUCACCAAGGACAGACCUAAUAUUCAGAAAUUCAUCGAGGAAGUGAACAAGAUCGAUGCGUACACGCAAACGAAACUGGACCCACAAUUUCUACUUGAACACACAAAGAAGCGGCUUGGGAUUGAGUGA
rnacentral:rRNA from 1 species